CUACUUACCUGCCAGGUGAGAUACUAUGAUCAGGAAGGUGCUUCUCCCAGGGCAAGGCUCACCCAUUGCACUCUGGGUGUGCCGCUCCUGCGAUUUCCCCAAAUGUGGGAAACUUGACUGCAUAAUUGUUACAAACCUGCGGCGGCCGCGGCGGCCGCGCUUG